AGGACGAACGCUGGCGGCGUGCUUAACACAUGCAAGUCGAGCGGAAAGGCCCUUCGGGGUACUCGAGCGGCGAACGGGUGAGUAACACGUGAGCAAUCUGCCCCUAGCUUCGGGAUAGCUCCGGGAAAACCGGAUUAAUACCGAAUACGACUACGGCCGACAUCGGCUGUGGUGGAAAGUUUUUCGGCUAGGGAUGAGCUCGCGGCCUAUCAGCUUGUUGGUGAGGUAACGGCUCACCAAGGCGACGACGGGUA
rnacentral:rRNA from 1 species